CGCGGCCAGCUGGCACCGCCCCGUCGGGCGGCCAGCGCAUCCCUGAGGCCGCACCGCGCGGGUGGCCCGGGCGGCGACGACGGGGGCGGGGGGGCGCGGGUUAGGUGACGGGGGCGGCGUUGGGGGAGGGCGGGAUGCUGGGGAGGCAGUGGGGGCGUGCUGUGGGGGCAUCCUGGGCGUGGGCCGGUCCACCGGGGGUUCAGCGGCCGCGGGUAGUGGGAACGGGGCUGGGCGACGGGGCACAGGCCACACGCAAGGAGAAGUGAGCUUGCUUGGCUGCGAAAGCAUGGGGCGGGGGGCAGCUGUGGAUGCUGCGCUGUUUGGGUUUUGCCUGACGUCAUUUUUCUUUCUGGUCCAGCGGCCUCCCGGAUGCUUGCGGCAGAAGGCGCUGGUGUACCCCUAUCAUGGGCAGCAACCCCUUGGGAAGAGCUGAAGACCAGCCAGGGGAGAGGGAAAAAAAAAAAGCACAGAACACAUGCUGGUUCCAGAUUCCUGGCAAGAAUCAGAGCGCCUGUGCUGUGCUGAAAGCCGGCCCAAGCACAGAGCAGCAGAGGCCACUUGGAGCAGCUGCUGUCGACUUCCGCCUCGCUGGACAGCAUCCCUUCAGAUCCAUCUUUUCAAGUUAAGCGGUCCAAGGGGUGGUAUCAGAAUUGCAGUGGACACCUGACAAGACCCCCCCCCCCCAGGAGGGUGCAUUGUCCUAAUAAAGGGCAUACCUGACUGUCCCCAGGAAACUGUGGCCAGGACACUGCUGAUCUGCUUGCUGUCAUCUCUCGUGUGGUUCUUGGGUGUCUCUUCAGAACAUGCUCCGAGGCUCCUCUUACGUUUCCCUGCAAAGAACCCUUGUAAGGGGGCUGCCUACACAUGGCCUGCAUCUCUCGUUUCUACCACUGAGUUAGGUAAGGCAUCCUCAAGCCCCACAGCUGAAAAACUUAUUCGUGUGUCCACUGCAAAGCCACCGACUGUCCACGAGGCCUGGCUCAGAGGCCUCCCUUGCAGAAGGGAGGUUCCGCCAGUGAUGAGCGGGCGCGUCCCGCUGGCAGAGAAAGCUCUGUCUGAAAGCUAUGCCCGGCUUCGAUACAGAGACACCUCCUUGCUCAUUUGGCAACAGCAGCAGCAGAAGUUGGAAUCUGUGCCACCUGGGACGUACCUGAGCCGGAGCCGAAGCAUGUGGUACUCUCAGUACGGGAACGAGGCCAUCCUUGUCCGGGACAGAAACAAGCUGGAGGUCUCCCGGGACACGGGCCAGUCCAAGUUUUGCUCUGUUAUGUAACUUCUGGUGUGAAAAGCGAGCCCAGGCGCCGCCCUGUCUCCACCUCCAGCCCUUGCCCGGAGGUCCUGGCUGUGAACGUGAAGGCUGAGCUGCAGCGGAAGGACCCCAGGAUGCCAGGGAUGGCGCCCCAGCCCAUUUGCAGUCGGGGUGACUGGUGGACUUGGCUUCUGGCCUCCAUUUUGAGCUUCCGGGCGCUGCGGGCACAGCCCAGGCUGGGGCACGACGGGAUGCCACUCUGCUUAUGCUUCCAAAUAAAGCAAGCAAGAGGGACGUCCAGUCACACAACCUUUUCACAUUCUUACAGGUUGUUUUAGCGUCCGCUCUGCCUGGUACAGAAUGGGUCAGGGGACUCCCCGUCGUGGCUCCGUGGUAACGAACCUGACCAGGAUCCAUGAGGAUGAGGGUUCAAUCCUUGGACCCCCUGAGUGGGUGGAGGAUCCGGCAUUGCCGUGAGCUGUGGCGUAAGUUGCAGACGUGGCUUAGAUCUGGCGUGGCUGUGGCUGUGGUGUAGGCCAGCAGCUGCAGCUCCAAUUUGACCCCUAGCCUGGGAACGCCCAUAUGCCACGGGUGCGGCCCUAAAAAGACCAAAAAAAAAAAAAAAAAAAAAUGGGUCAGACCUAGAAAAGGCUGAGGAAACUGGCAUCCUGUAUGGUCGAACACCCAUUUGCAGGACCAGGAUGGGUUUACCUUAAAUGGUCAGCAGCAGCAUUUCAGCGGGAACUCGGUGGCACUUGAAUUCUGAGUCUCGCUACCAAACGAUCACUGUGUGUGACCCACCAUGAUGGCUUCUGUAACCAGCUUUCUCAUGCUUGAGGCUUGUGGGCAAAUGCAUCCCAAAGCAUUAAGGAAACCCGAAACUAUUAAGUUACACAUCCGCUGCUUGCAUUAAUGCCAGAUUUAAUCAGAGGCCGAGACACUCUCCGCCAGCGGUGUUUCAGCCUCCGCCCGGAGCCGGCAGCUCCCGGCCACGUGCGGUGUUGGAUGUGUGUUGACUAGUAUCUCACACAGGCCUCCUCGGCCCACCUGUGUGGGCAGAUUUAUGAGUCAUUUUUUACAAGGAUUUGCUGGCUGCGGUAAUUCAAGUCUGUGUGGCAGGGCAAAUGUGCAAUGUCUCUUGUCAAAGCAGAGUUUUGUUUCCUUUUUUUUUUUUUUUUUGGCUUUUUGUUUUGUUCUGGUUUUUUUGGCCGCCCAGUGGCACGCAGAACUCCCAAGCCAGGGAUCAGAUCCGAGCCACAGCCAUGAACUAAGCCACAGCAGCACCCGAUCCACUGUGCCGGGCUGGGGAUCAAGCCUGCGUCCCAGCACUCCCGGGCCACUGCCGAUUCUGUUGGGCCACAGCGGGAGCGGAGUUUUCUAAAUAAAUCUCCCAUAGGGGCCUCUUUCCUUCCUCUUUUAUCUGUUUGUCCACAACCUAACUUGGCUCUCAGGUAUUUUUUUUAAUAACAGUAAUAUCUAACGAUUGCCGAAAGCCCCAAUGCAGAAACGUGCCGAGCACCGUGGCAGUGAGCAGCUUGGCAGAUGCAGAUGCAAUCAGUUCCAGAGGCGGCGUCCUGCACACACGGCUGGUUCUGUGACUUUCCUUGCUCAGCUGUGCAGAUGGGACACUUACAUCGCACCUUGAAUGUCUGUCUGGUCAGCAGCGCUCCUGUGAGCCCGCAGGUGGGUGGGCAGAGACCUCCGUGCCAUCCAGGUACAGAGCAUGUCCUGAGCUGCACGAUGCCAGCUGGUUGGCAGACAGCCUCCAGGAGGCCACUGCUGGGUCCGACCGCAUCCGCAAGGUCACGUGUCCGGCCGGAGCCUGGUCCUGGCUGAUGGAGCCUCAGCCAGCUCGCUGCCAGAGCCUCAGCCAGCUCGCUGCCUCACGUCGCGAGGCUGGAGGGCAGGUUUCCCUUCAGCACCGCCGGGAGGUGAAGGGGGAACCCGGGCCCGUUUAGAGUCAGGCCUCUGCAGGAAAGGCUUGCCCCGUCCAGGCGCCCUGACACUGGAAUCCCCCGGAGAUAACUGUUGUCAGCAUCUCUGCAGCCCUUCAAGUCCUGCUUGGGAAGAAAGCAAGCUGCUGAGGCUUAUCUGGAAAGUUUGUACUGCACACUCACAGCCCCUCGGAUUAACCUAAAACGCGCAGAGGCGCUGGCCACUGUCUGCACUGGUCAGGUGUACAGGUGGCCGAUGUGCCCCAGGCUGCUGGCAGCCAGCUGGCACUAAGCUGCCUAGCAUGCAGCAAGACCCCGUCUGCCCCGAGGAAGCCUGGGCUGGGGCCGGGGACUCCAAGAUGGACGCAGCUCAGUCCCUGUCCUCGGGGAGCUCAGCCUGGGGGGUGGGGGGGCAGGGGUCUGGUCCAGGAGGAUGCGUGCUUGGGGAAUUGAGGAGGGUGUGCUCAGGCCUGGGGCCGGGCAGAACCUUCACAGGUCAGCAAUGGGGCGGGGGGGGGGGGGUCGGGUCUGAAAGCACAAGAAAAGGCACAGAGAGGCACCUCUUUUUUUUUUUUCCUUUUAUUAUGAAAACAAAACAAAUGCCCCAGGAGCAGGGUCCAUGAUUACCAGAAACAUCAAAGAAUACUUUCUACCAUUUUUAUUCUGUUGUGUUGAGGCCAGCAUUGCAAUAAACAAGCUAAAACUACUUACAUUGGACUCAUUUUCAGUAACUGACAUUUACAGGAAUAUACUAGAAACGGCACUAAAAAGUUUAAGAAAAGUUACGGUAAACUCGCAUGCACAUCAUACAGAAAAGUAACAUUUUAAAUAUAAAAAAGGAAACCUUCUCAGAAGCGUUCUGCCAGAGUUAAGGAACAGCGCUACCCGGGAUGGAACGAACCCUUUAUCGUGGGUGGUGUGUUUCCCCCCCCCGACUGUCAAAAGAUGUGGAAAUUGCAAAA